CUCUACGGUAUAUUCGUCGUCGUCUUCGUCUUUUUCCUGCCCUUCGAAGCAGUCUUCCCUCUCUCGGUACUUAUCUGCCUUAAAAAGCGGAGAAGAAGUUCCUUAAUAGAAUUCUCCUUUCGUGCAAUUUGGUUUCUUUCUGCGGAUUCAAGAUACCGCCGAAGGAAUCGGAGACCCUCCGCAACGGAUUUACAAGGUUUUCCUUAUCUCGUAUGAGACAAUUCCUUUCCCCUAGGAUAAUUACUAUUACUAUGAGGUGAAUUUGUGCCUUGAUUAUGUGGAACCGCACAAUUGUUCACGGAUGAGGAAGUUCUUUUCAUUCAGAUCGGUGGAAUCUAGCAGUCCAAAUGGCAAUUCUCUACAUCCAGGUCAUUCAUUUUCUGAUGACUUGGUCUGUUGUGAGAAAUUAGGGGACAGUCAUUCAAACUUUUCACUGCGUGAGAAGGUCCAUGAUCAUUCCCAGACAGUGAAAGACAGCACUCUUAGCCCUCAAUAUCCAGAAAAUGAAGAUUCAUCUCAUUUACUUCUUAGAAGAAGCUUUUCACUAUCAUCCUGUGCCAUGAACGGCGGUGGCUUCAGAGAUGGAAAUCUUAUUUCUUCGAGUGAUUUGAGCAGACCAGCAUCUAGUAGUGGCAAUUCACCACAUCGUGCAUCUAGUUUCCGGAUGCACUGCCAUCCACUGACACAAGAGAGAUCUACAAGACCUAGAAGCUGUGAACAGCCUCCAUCUCAGCAUUUUCAUGCUGUUCAGAAAUAUAGUUCUCUUAAAUCAUUAAGAGAAUGUGAAAUUCCAUCAAAUUCACCAAACAGUUCUCCAGUUCCUUCAAGAUGCAAUGUGGUUCACCUAUCAUGUUUUCCAAAAGGAAAUGGACUUCUUGACCAGUACAUUGAUGCAGAGGAUCAGGAAGUUCAACCUGAGACACAUACCGAAAAAUGUUUAUCUGAAUCUGGAAUUAACUGUUCCUUGGCAGAGAAUCAAGCAUAUCCAAGUGCAGGAAGUCCACAACAAUUUUGGUCUGUGGCACUGUCUUCACCAAUGUGCAGGAAAGAGAAUUCUAAAACUUUAUCAGUUAGGGAGGAGAUUGAUUCGUCUCAUCACCCAUCUGCACGAAAUUGGGCAAGAGAUGAUUAUGAGACAGUAUCCACAUCAAGAUGCAUACAAAAGAGUAUUAAUAAGUCAUCACAUCCAUUUCAUGGAAGAUUAUCAAUGAAUGCCCGAGAUUAUGACUCUGAAAGUACUACUACCUUUGAGGAUAUUUACAUGGAUUCAUUUGAAAUGCAGCCUACUUUGCAUUCAGAUGACACUGUGCAACAUUUUUCAAUCGAUGACCAUUCAAGUUACAAGAAUUUAACUGGUCAUUUUGCUCAGGAUUUAUUGGGGCUUGAGAAGUAUGAUUGUUUUCUUGAAAAUGGAGCAACGAGCACUAGAAAUGGUAAAGCAAUGAGUUCUGGGCUACAAGAUACAGAUGAAGUGUUGCAUAAAAAGUUGAAAGAGGUAGAUAGGAUGAUUGAGCUCCUACCUGACGAGGACUUUGAUCUUGAGGAACUUCAGAGUGGUGAUUCGAACGUGCCUUCAUUGUUUCAAGCAAUUGAAAAUAUUAAAGAAGUCAGGAAAUUCUUGGUGCUAGAGCUCUCAGUACAAAUAAAAUGCAGACUUGCAGAAAGGCAUGCUGCAAAAGGGCAUUUGAGACGAGCUAGGAUAGAUCUCAAGACUCAAACUAGAAGGCUGGAACAGGAGAAGAAUGAACUUCAGUUUAUUUUAGAGAAAGAACUAGAUAGAAGGUCAAGCAGCUGGUCCAUGAAGUUUGAAAAGAUUCAGUUGGAAGAGCAGUGGCUCCGGGAACGGGUAAGGGAACUGGCAGAGCAAAAUAUGUCUUUUCAGAGAGAAAUUUCUUCACUUAAAGGCAUUAAAGGGGAUAGUCAAACUAGGGUUGUGGAUUCUGAAAUAGAACUAACUAAUCUAACAGCAACUUUGGAGCAACUAGGAAUAGAGAAUUACAAUCUUCAGAAAGGCUUCUCAGAGCUGCAGGAGCACUUCGAUGCAACUGAAAAGGAUCGGGAUUGUAUCAGAAGAUGCUUACGUGAGAAAGAAAGGGAGAACAAGGAGUUGCAAAAGUUAGUUGUACGUUUACAGCGAACAAUCAAUGAACAAGAAAAGACUAUUAAUGGAUUGCGGAAAGGAUUUAGUGAUGAGACUGAAAAUAAAGCUACAGAUGGAAGUGACCAAUUAAGGAUGUUGCAGAUGGAGCAGCUAAGGUUGACAGGACUUGAACAGAAACUGAGGAAGGAGUUAAAGACUUUCAAGCAUGAAGUAGAGACACUCAGGCAUGAGAACAUUGGCCUAUUGACUCGUUUACGAGCUGCUGGAGAUGGCCAUCAGUUCUCAUCGAUUAAGCUAGACGAGGAGCUUCAUGCUCGACUAGAUUGCUUGCAGACUGAGGGCUUGUCCUUGCUCACUGACAUUAGUCACUUCAGUAACAAUUUGUUAGGAUGCCUUAGGCACAAACAAUAUGAACAUGGACAGGAGGAUGAAAAUAACACUGAUGGAUAUUCAUUUAUCGAUUAUAUUAUCAAAAGCCAGAGUUUUAGCAGACGAUAUGAAAAUUUUAGAACGAGUUUACAAACUAUAGCAACAAUUUUGGAUGAGAAGUCAGAUUUACAAGCUACAGAACGCCAGUCACUGUCAACAGAAUUUGGCAUGUCAAGGCAGUCAGAGGAUGAAUUAGAAGCUAAAUUGAAGGCCGAGAUUAUCUUGACUAGAUUACUACGAGAGAAACUGCAUUCAAAUGAAUUGGAAUUCGAGCAACUAGAGGCAGAUUUGGCUUCCUCUGUUCGGGUUCAUGAUGUCAUGCAAACUGAGAUCCAGAGGAUGCAAGAUGAAGUCUCUUGCCUUACCCACAAGACAAUGGACAUGGAGCUUAAGAUGCUGCAGAAAGAUGAAAGCAUUAAGCAGCUUGAGAAUGAGUAUCAGGAGUGCACAAAGGAACUAACUGCGGCUCGAAAUAUAUGUUUGAAGAUAACUGAGGAGAGAAACCAUAUGUGGGAAGAAGUGAAAAGUUCAAAAGAGAAGAUCAUGCUUCUUAAUUAUGAAGUUCUUUCUCUUAGAAAGAAGAUUGAAGAACUUGAAGAAGACAUUCUUACCAAGGAGGGGCAGAUUGCUAUCUUGAGAGAUAGCCUUGAGAAGCCAUUUGACAUCCUCUGUGCAUAGUCCUGGAUCAGUGAAAAGAAUUUCACUGGGAUGAGUUAUGAUGAAGUUCUCGGGCAGUGAUAUCUUCUCUGCCAUCUAGUUUUAGUUAUCUUGGAUUUGCUACAGAGCUAUGUUUACAUAAGACUGUACUGGUGAUGCUGAAUGAUGGAGGGGUCAUAUAUGCUGGUUCCGAUAAAAGUAGAUCAUAUCGAAAAGCUUUCAGAUUCUGAAUAUACCAUAUUUCAUAUUUUCUCCGCUUCUGAAAUCUUCAUAAACCAUUGAAGGUUUCAUUGUAAAAUGUUAAAAAUGCAGGUAUAAGCUCUACCAAUAUUUCAAAUGCAGUAAUAGCUGAUGUAGUCAAAGAAAUGGUGAUUCUUGUUAUACUGUAAUUAAUGCCUUAAGAGUUGCUUACUAGUUUGUUCUACAGGUUAAUGAUCUUUGGUCAUGCUGAUGUUAAGAAUGAUGAGAAUUAGAUGAUC